rnacentral:misc_RNA from 1 species
GUCAUUGACAAGAAAAGAUGAAAUCUUAAAUAUAUUUUGAUGAAAGAGUAGAACUGCUAGUUAUUCGCGAAGAUGAGAGGGCUCCAUGGGCUGUCUUUUUCCUUUAGAGAAAAAGAGGGCACAAGGGGUGAUUUAAGUGAUCAGAAGCAUGAAAAAAAAUGAGAAGAAGUUUGUAUUCGUGAGAGAUGUAUGCAAUUUCCACGAUCCUUUUCUCAAAUCAA